rnacentral:rRNA from 1 species
UAUUGCACAAUGGGGGAAACCCUGAUGCAGCAACGCCGCGUGAGUGAAGAAGGUCUUCGGAUNGUAAAGCUCUGUUCUUGGUGAANNUCNNNANGGUAGCCAAGGAGAAAGCUCCGGCUAACUACGUGCCNNNANCCGCGGUAAUACGUAGGGAGCGAGCGUUGUCCGGAUUUACUGGGUGUAAAGGGUGCGCAGGCGGCUCUGCAAGUCAGGCGUGAAAGCUAGGGGCUCAACCCCUAAACUGCGCUUGAAACUGUGGAGCUUGAGUGAAGUAGAGGCAGGCGGAAUUCCCGGUGUAGCGGUGAAAUGCGUAGAGAUCGGGAGAAACACCAGUGGCGAAGGCGGCCUGCUGGGCUUUAACUGACGCUCAGGCACGAAAGCAUGGGUAGCAAACAGG